GAUGAACGCUGGCGGCGUGCCUAAUACAUGCAAGUCGAGCGAACGGACGAGAAGCUUGCUUCUCUGAUGUUAGCGGCGGACGGGUGAGUAACACGUGGAUAACCUACCUAUAAGACUGGGAUAACUUCGGGAAACCGUAGCUAAUACCGGAUAAUAUUUUGAACCGCAUGGUUCAAAAGUGAAAGACGGUCUUGCUGUCACUUCUAGAUGGAUCCGCGCUGCAUUAGCUAGUUGGUAAGGUAACGGCUUACCAAGGCAACGAUGCAUAGCCGACCUGAGAGGGUGAUCGGCAACACUGGAACUGAGACACGGUCCAGACUCCUACGGGAGGCAGCAGUAGGGAAUCUUCCGCAAUGGGAGAAAGCCUGACGGAGCAACGCCGCGUGAGUGAUGGAGGUCUUCGGAUCGUAAAACUCUGUUAUUAGGGAAGAACAUAUGUGUAAGUAACUGUGCACAUCUUGACGGUACCUAAUCAGAAAGCCACGGCUAACUACGUG
rnacentral:rRNA from 1 species